UUCCCCGCGAUCCACCUCGCCGACCCUCCUCUUUCUUGCGACCCCUCCUCUGUCCUCUCCCACGCCACUCCUCUCUCACGCCUAGUACCAAUGAUUAGGGUCGCGCGCAUGACCUGCUCGAGCUCAACCCCCUCUGCCCCGCGUCCAUGCCCUGCGACGUGAUCAACGCGGGCUCAGCUUCCCCUCGAGCGGUGUGGAUUGGUGCCCAAUCGGAGUGUGGUGGCAGCGGCGGAGGCGCCUCGGGGUGUGAUCUGCUGCGACUGGCUUCAUCAUGGAUUGAAUUCGCGGUAGAUGUACCCACUCCCUCACAUCACAGCUUAUGUUUGCUUGAAGAUACUGAACUGUGGUAUGUGUUUUCUUGUUGGCCCUAGGUGCGUUCUCUAACCCAUUGUUUAAAACUCUGUUUCAAUUGCUUACUUAUAGGUGUUGCUGCUCUCCUUGCUCAAGGUACAUGCCCUCCUCUUCCCAGCCCUAUCUUUGAUUCAUCAUCUUCAAUAUCGUAUAUUGCUUAAUUAAUUGUGCAGCUAUAAUUGAAGUAUAAAGUUUUGGAAAUCUGAAGAAUUAAGUUUCUGUGGCCCAUAUGGUCUGGGCGUUUGGCAUGCUGUUCAGAGAUUUUCUAUUAUUCCAAUCAUUUUAGGGUCUAUAUAUAGUUGUCUAUUUCCAAUUUUUGUUUAGGCACCACCGCACCAGUGGAAAGUGGAAGAUGCUUCAGUAAGCGCAAUAUCUCUUAUUUUUGGUCCAAGAACUCAGGUAUUGUAUGUUCUCCCUUGCGUCGGACUUGCAGUUCAAGCAGAUUUGUAGUGAACUAAUUUGUUCGUGAGAUUCAUAAGCAUCAAUAUUUAAUUUAGUGAGUUGUGUCAUCUUAGGAAUUAAAAAGGGCAGAUAUGCUCUUACAUGCCUUCACUUGUUAUUUUUCCCUGCUAUACUUCUGGGGAAUAUAAUGGUAGCAAUACAUAAUGAAAUUCAACACCAGGCUUAGAGAAUUAUUGCAACAGGUGGAGGUGUGCUAUUUUUUAAACAAAGAGAUUAGCACAUGUGCAGUUGUGAGUUAUUCUAAAUGAUUUUCUCACUGCAUGGGUUUACAUACUUCUUUUUGCCCUCUUCCUAUAUUUGUACUGUUAAUGCCUUCAUGCUUUGAAUAAUUCAUCUUUUUUAUGAUAAGAAAUCAUGGGUAUGUUUGAUUACAUUUGGACUAUUGAGUUGGAUGCAUCACCAGAUUUACUCUUCACUUGUAGCUAUUUUUUUCAUUGUUCAGAGAAUGGAUAUGGCACUUUCAAAGCUUAAUAGUGGUGGAUGGGCUCAUAUAUGCCCUGAAGGAAGCCAUUUAAUGGAUGAAGGGAAAAAUCAUUGCUCCUACCAAGAGAGGUGUUGCAAGCUGAACUAACUUAGGUGGGGAAUUGAUGAACCCCUGAGUUUCUGUCACUCAUACUGAGGUAAUUUACACUUCAUAGGAAUUAAUACUAUAGCAGUUUCUGGAAUGAGGUACAAUAGCAACAGACCAUGUUGCUUGGUUAUUUAGAUAAGACAUUUAACAUGAUCCAUACUGUAUUGUGUGAAUAGGCUAUAGAAGUUCAGGCAACUCAGCCAGCUAAUUGAAUAUCAUUGCCAUUUUAUGUAGAUGUUUAUUGUAAUUUCUGAAAUGAUUCAUGGCUAUCUGUAUUUGAAUCUGAUCUGAUCCAUUUAUACAGGUGUGGAUACAUGUAUUACGCCUACAAACUUUUUUGUUUUCUUUUUGUGAAAAAGAUUGGCUCUGACCCAGUAAAGGAGAGAGUCCAGUGCAGUUUAUUUGGUGAUCAUUAACACCAACAUCAGGAUUUUACUUCCUUGCGUCUUCUUUAAUUAUCGCAGCAGGUUGCUGAAACUAUUUUUUUCUAUCAUCUUCAAUUUCAUCAGAUGCUGCGGUGUUUCAGGAGGACUUCAAGGAUGAUCAUCAAUGUGACCUCUUGAUUGGCGGUCAUGAUCCCCUUGAUUGGUGGCCAUGAUGAUGCUCAGAUCCGCCACUCCAAGGUCCACAUUGAUGAUGCUCAAUCAGGCUAAACACUUGUAUAUUUAUCCGGAGGAGGAAAUAUUGUAAUUUCUGCUGUCGGAAACCACCUGCAGCCUCCAUUGCUGAUAUUGUUCCUUGUCUGCAGUGUUUCAGUGUGAGGCUGUGCAUGCAUGUAAAUCCACAGAUGAGCACAUGAUAACAGAACAAGGACAUCGACCUGAACAUGCAUCGUGUUUUCUACAGUUUUAAUUAAGCUGCAUCUUCUAACUGUGAUGUUGAUUGAUCCAAGUGUGUUGUGUGCUCCCCCACCUACACCUUUGGUCCCUAAAAAUAUUACUGAUUAUUAGGCUAGUCCUGUGGCAACCUACUGUAAUGUUGCUAUCUAGUCAUUGUCUUCAUAGUUUACUGUUUUUUGGCAGCCAUGAAAUGCCCCAGUGUUUCAGGAGUCUCACGGCAUGAGCACGCACUGAGCAUGCUUCUGCAUCAGCACGCACUGAGCCUGCUUGGUGGAGUCUGCCUCGUGUGGCUUCGCCGCAAGGCGUUCACUGCGCUGCAGCGACAGAAUGGAGACCGGUGUCCUGGGCCUGAGUAUAAUAUCUACUGCUAGAUCAAUAACAUCAACAGUAGAAGCAUAAGCAAGUGUACAGGGAUGCUUGGCAUGCAUGGAUAUUUUGAAAUUUUUAACAAGAUGUUAUUUUCCUCAUUGUAAAUGGCUGGAUAGAGGUGCUUCAAAAACUGCCUGGGCUAUGCUCAUUGUUAAUGCUUGCUUUGCUCAAUAUGCCUCUGAUUUUUUAAGGCUACCAGACUAGUGUUGGAACUGCUACUACUAAUAUUUGACAAAAGUAUGAUCUACUUGAUAGAUCGAUUGA